AUUGAACGCUGGCGGCAGGCCUAACACAUGCAAGUCGAGCGGAUGAAGGGAGCUUGCUCCUGGAUUCAGCGGCGGACGGGUGAGUAAUGCCUAGGAAUCUGCCUGGUAGUGGGGGAUAACGUCCGGAAACGGGCGCUAAUACCGCAUACGUCCUGAGGGAGAAAGUGGGGGAUCUUCGGACCCCACGCUAUCAGAUGAGCCUAGGUCGGAUUAGCUAGUUGGUGGGGUAAAGGCCUACCAAGGCGACGAUCCGUAACUGGUCUGAGAGGAUGAUCAGUCACACUGGAACUGAGACACGGUCCAGACUCCUACGGGAGGCAGCAGUGGGGAAUAUUGGACAAAGGGCGAAAUCCUGAUCCAGCCAUGCCGCGUGUGUGAAGAAGGUCUUCGGAUUGUAAAGCACUUUAAGUUGGGAGGAAGGGCAGUAAGUUAAUACCUUGCUGUUUUGACGUUACCAACAGAAUAAGCACCGGCUAACUUCGUG
rnacentral:rRNA from 1 species